GGAGAGAAGGGAAAGAGAAAGACCAGGCAAAAUCCUUUCAUGGAGAUGAAAUGAUGGCUUGAAGACACUAUGAGAUGUUUGUCACCUCUGCCCUGCAUUUGGCUUCUGUCACUGAGUUGACCACCCUGCUUGCCUCUAUGCAUUGGAGAUUCCUGCUGAGUCUAAGAUUCGGUGGGAAUCUUCAGUACAAGUCCCGCAGAGAGACUGGAGUCAUCUCAAAAGAGAGGAUUUCCUGAAAAGCUGAAAACAUAUUCGUCGUACUCGAGGGCAGGCCUCCGUUGCACUGAGAGCGUAAAGCUGGCUGUGCCGAGGCCCACAGUGACCCCGCGGCACGAUAGUACGAGCGCAGAGAGAAGCGCAGCUUGCUCCAGUGACCCGAAGCUGGGCCAUCUAAUUCCGCACUGACUUGGUGCAGGGCGUGACUCGAGACGCCUGGCCCUGAACCCAAGACCUUGGUUAGAGCCCUACCGAACUCUUGCCAACUCAAGAACCCAAGAAGAGGCUACCACCAGUGGCCAGUGAACAGAAUCCUCCUCCCUGCCAGCAAAUCUGAAGACCUGGGUUCAAGUCCAGGAUCUGCUUUUUAUUAUCACUGUGGUCAUUGACAAGGUUUCUGUGCAGAUACUUAAGAGAACAACAUAUUUAAAGAUCAUCGUGGGGCGCCUGGCUGGUGCAGUCAGUUGAGUCACCAACUCUUGGGUUCGGC